CUGAAUGCACAAGCAACAGAGCUGCAGGAUUAUGGGAAAGUAACUGAAUGCACAAGCAACAGAGCUGCAGUUCGUCUUGCUCUUAGGAAACAAAUGUAUUUAAUAUUUUUAAUCAAACUUUUGCAGACAAUAUUGCAAACUACCAAGAUCUUAGCUAGGGAGCAAGUUCAAAAACUUAAAAAGCUUUACCCUUUGCCCUUAAAUCUUAUUAGAAUGAAGCUGAGCUCUCAAAAACCCUAACCCUCUCCUCUCCUGACUCUCAGAAUUAAUUUCAGCCAUUUAGGAGGUCUUUCAGCAGACAAUGCAGUUAUAAGCACCCAGAAAUUUGAGCUGGCUAGCUCCAAAUUAAGAGACUCUUGCACUGUAACAGAAAAAACAAAGACUAAAAAUCCUCAGGGAAUGGCCUUGAAGUGCAUACUGAAGAGGCAAGACCCAGAAACAAGUAUUAGGAAUAAGGUAUGGGAACAAAAAAUCUCCUUGCUUUAAGAAAUGUCUAUUUACUGUUUUCAUGAGGAGACAAAAAUGGCUGAAAUCAUUGUCAACAGGUUAGAAAAGGAUAACAACUUUUUUUUUUCCCAGAUGACAUUAUAACCCUGCCCAUAAAAGCUCUGUUUAGAUGAAUUUUGAGCCAAGAUGUUCCAUGCAA